rnacentral:lncRNA from 1 species
CAUAAUACAAUGUCAUGACAUCGAGUGUCACAUUGUAUAUAAUUAUCAGUAGUUUCAUCCAACCUGGUUGAGAAUUGUUGCUUUCAUCUUAUAUACUUUCUAUCUCAAUAGCCCCUUGUGUCCCAGUUCCAACAAAGCUCUCACUAACUUCAGACUGCAUACAACCAGUCACAUGUUCCCUUUUUUCAGAUGUUUGGGCCAUCAUGACCUUCUCUUCCUUGAAGUUAGGUCUUAGCUUCUGGUGUAACAUCCUUGUCUGACAUUUUUC